CACGUAGGGCGCGAGCGUUGUCUGGAAUUAUUGGGCGUAAAGAGCUCGUAGGCGGCCUGUUGCGUCCGCUGUGAAAGCCCGGGGCUUAACCCCGGGUCGGCAGUGGAUACGGGCAGGCUAGAGGUAGGUAGGGGAGAAUGGAAUUCCCGGUGUAGCGGUGAAAUGCGCAGAUAUCGGGAGGAACACCGGUGGCGAAGGCGGUUCUCUGGGCCUUACCUGACGCUGAGGAGCGAAGCGUGGGGAGCGAACAGG
rnacentral:rRNA from 1 species